GAGUGGCGGACGGGUGAGUAAUGUCUGGGAAACUGCCUGAUGGAGGGGGAUAACUACUGGAAACGGUAGCUAAUACCGCAUAACGUCGCAAGACCAAAGAGGGGGACCUUCGGGCCUCUUGCCAUCGGAUGUGCCCAGAUGGGAUUAGCUUGUUGGUGGGGUAACGGCUCACCAAGGCGACGAUCCCUAGCUGGUCUGAGAGGAUGACCAGCCACACUGGAACUGAGACACGGUCCAGACUCCUACGGGAGGCAGCAGUGGGGAAUAUUGCACAAUGGGCGCAAGCCUGAUGCAGCCAUGCCGCGUGUAUGAAGAAGGCCUUCGGGUUGUAAAGUACUUUCAGCGGGGAGGAAGGGAGUAAAGUUAAUACCUUUGCUCAUUGACGUUACCCGCAGAAGAAGCACCGGCUAACUCCGUGCCAGCAGCCGCGGUAAUACGGAGGGUGCAAGCGUUAAUCGGAAUUACUGGGCGUAAAGCGCACGCAGGCGGUUUGUUAAGUCAGAUGUGAAAUCCCCGGGCUCAACCUGGGAACUGCAUCUGAUACUGGCAAGCUUGAGUCUCGUAGAGGGGGGUAGAAUUCCAGGUGUAGCGGUGAAAUGCGUAGAGAUCUGGAGGAAUACCGGUGGCGAAGGCGGCCCCCUGGACGAAGACUGACGCUCAGGUGCGAAAGCGUGGGGAGCAAACAGGAUUAGAUACCCUGGUAGUCCACGCCGUAAACGAUGUCGACUUGGAGGUUGUGCCCUUGAGGCGUGGCUUCCGGAGCUAACGCGUUAAGUCGACCGCCUGGGGAGUACGGCCGCAAGGUUAAAACUCAAAUGAAUUGACGGGGGCCCGCACAAGCGGUGGAGCAUGUGGUUUAAUUCGAUGCAACGCGAAGAACCUUACCUGGUCUUGACAUCCACGGAAGUUUUCAGAGAUGAGAAUGUGCCUUCGGGAACCGUGAGACAGGUGCUGCAUGGCUGUCGUCAGCUCGUGUUGUGAAAUGUUGGGUUAAGUCCCGCAACGAGCGCAACCCUUAUCCUUUGUUGCCAGCGGUCCGGCCGGGAACUCAAAGGAGACUGCCAGUGAUAAACUGGAGGAAGGUGGGGAUGACGUCAAGUCAUCAUGGCCCUUACGACCAGGGCUACACACGUGCUACAAUGGCGCAUACAAAGAGAAGCGACCUCGCGAGAGCAAGCGGACCUCAUAAAGUGCGUCGUAGUCCGGAUUGGAGUCUGCAACUCGACUCCAUGAAGUCGGAAUCGCUAGUAAUCGUGGAUCAGAAUGCCACGGUGAAUACGUUCCCGGGCCUUGUACACACCGCCCGUCACACCAUGGGAGUGGGUUGCAAAAGAAGUAGGUAGCUUAACCUUCGGGAGGGCGCUUACCACUUUGUGAUUCAUGACUGGGGUGAAGUCGUAACAAGGUAACCGUAGGGGAACCUGCGGUUGGAUCACCUCCUUACCUUAAAGAA
rnacentral:rRNA from 1 species